UUGUUUUUAAUUUUUUAGGAUCUGGGUUGUUGAAUAUAAUGUCUAAACGAAAUACCACAAGGAUAAUCACAAGAGGAUAUACUGCUGCGAUGGAAUUACAUAAGAAGUCGAAAGAUGAAAUAGUAAGGUCUCCUUCAAAAAGAAAAGUAGGGUCAACGGUGAAAGCGAUUGAAAAAAAAUUGUUACAAGAGGAGGAAAGUAAAAAAUGUAGUUUCCGACAUGAUUGGAGAACAUGCAGUUAAUGAAGAACAAGACGAAGUCAGUGAAGAAUUAAAGGGUAUCAGAUUCCAUGUAUUGGCUCGCCCAAUUAAACCCCCACGCAUGCAGGUUU